rnacentral:rRNA from 1 species
UUCCAGACUCCUACGGGAGGCAGCAGUGGGGAAUAUUGCACAAUGGGGGAAACCCUGAUGCAGCGACGCCGCGUGAGCGAUGAAGUAUUUCGGUAUGUAAAGCUCUAUCAGCAGGGAAGAAGAUGACGGUACCUGACUAAGAAGCCCCGGCUAACUACGUGCCAGCAGCCGCGGUAAUACGUAGGGGGCAAGCGUUAUCCGGAUUUACUGGGUGUAAAGGGAGCGUAGACGGCGAUGCAAGCCAGAUGUGAAAGCCCGGGGCUCAACCCCGGGACUGCAUUUGGAACUGUGUGGCUGGAGUGUCGGAGAGGCAGGCGGAAUUCCUAGUGUAGCGGUGAAAUGCGUAGAUAUUAGGAGGAACACCAGUGGCGAAGGCGGCCUGCUGGACGAUGACUGACGUUGAGGCUCGAAAGCGUGGGGAGCAAACAGGAUUAGAUACCCGAGUAA